ACCUAUUUUUUAAAUUCUUUUUUUCUUAUAAUUUAUUCCCAAUUUUAGGGUUUUAGUGCCCUGCAAAGCCACAUCAACUAAAGAGAACUUUUAAAAAAAAUUAUUUUUCUUAUUUUCUAUUCCCCAUUUUUAAAGGGUUUUAGUGCCCUGCAAAACCCACAGCAACCAAAGAGAACCUUUGUAAAAAAUUGUUUCUUUCUGAUCAUUUAUUCGCCAUCUAAUUUGAUUUUUUGUAGAAUUUAUUCCCCAUUUUUUAAAGGGUUUUAGUGCCCUGCAAAACCCACAUCACCUAUUUUUUAAAUUAUUUUUUUCUUAUAAUUUAUUCCCAAUUUUAGGGUUUUAGUGCCCUGCAAAGCCACAUCAAUGAAAGAGAACUUUA